UACAGAGGGUGCAAACGUUGCUCGGAAUCAUUGGGCGUAAAGCGCACGUAGGCGGUCCAGCAAGCGGGGAGUGAAAGCCCUCGGCUUAACCGAGGAAGUGCUUUCCGAACUACUGGACUUGAGUACUGAAGAGGGUCGCGGAAUUCCCGGUGUAGAGGUGAAAUGCGUAGAUAUCGAGAGGAACACCUGCGGCGAAGGCGGGUAGCUGGGCCGACACUGACGCUGAGGCGCGAAAGCCAGGGGAGCGAACGGG
rnacentral:rRNA from 1 species